rnacentral:rRNA from 1 species
ACAGACAUAUCACCCUGCAGCCCAAGACUGGUUGCCCACUGAAGCUAAGCAGGGUUGAGCCUGGUCAGUACCUGGAUGGGAGUGGAACCGUACCAUUAGCUAAUACAUGCGGGCUGUC